rnacentral:lncRNA from 1 species
AUGCCUGACUGAGGGCACGGGCCAGAAGGAGAAGCGGAAGAAAAGUCGGGCUCCUGCUGAACCCAGCAGGCCUCCGACUGACAAACGAGUUUCCCCCGACGACGGAGCCCAAGAUUGCCCUGACGGUGGAGUCCGAGAUUGGCGCUUUGCAGGUAUGACUCCUACACUCCUCUCUCUGCUCCCCGUGCAUAGAUCCUGAUGGAGAUCGAAGGAGCGGAAUAUCUGCGAUAGCCUCCACCUC